rnacentral:lncRNA from 1 species
GACGGACUUGCUGGGACCUCCCUCUCCAGAGCCUGGGGUGGCACUGCACCUCCGCAUUCCAAACUGGGGGUUGAAAAGCAGAUGGAACCAAGGCUAGGCCGGAGCUGGAGACAAGACAAUGAGUGGAUCUUGAGAACAGAGCCUGUGGCUUCCCAGACUCUAAGCCUUUUAAGGCCCCUGGACCUUUGAGCUGAGCUGGAGGCAGAAGUGAGGAAAGGGGGAAAGGCGAGAUCUACUGGCUUCAGGUUCAAGUAGGGCGGCGGACCCAGCCCCGUGACUUCAAAUAGCUGAAUGUAUUAGUUCAAACUCAUCUUAACAAAAUGUAAUUGUAGCUAGUUAGAAAUUGUAAUAUUUUAUAGUUCUGGUUCAGGUAUUGGGGAUUCCCAAGGAAGCCCCGACACCUGAUCAGGUACACGAUGCAGAAUGAAGUCAAAGAUAACCAGUAAGUGAAACGAGGCCCGGAGGUCAGAGAUUGUACUGAGCAGAGACCCUGAAGCCCAGACUUGCCGAUAUUUCCUGAGCACCAAGCAGCAUCGGGGAGUGUAUAGUCAGAUAUGUGGUGUGACAAAUAAAGACGAACAAGGCCUAGCAAGAACGGAACAAAGCAUUCUUGCAAGAAGUGGGUCUCAGAGGGCACCAGCCUCCCGGGGAGGCCCCUGAAGUCGGGCCCACACCGGUCGCUCCUGUCCUGUUGUGACAGCCCAGCAGACCUCUCCCUUCCAGGCAGCUCUGGAGUGACAGGCAAGGCUGGGAGAGAAGGGAGGCUGCCCCCACCCCCACCCCCUCCC